CGGUGGAUGCCUUGGCACUAGGAGCCGAAGAAGGACGGCACUAACACCGAUAUGCCUCGGGGAGCUGUAAGUGAGCUGUGAUCCGGGGAUUUCCGAAUGGGGAAACCCACUGUUCGUAAUGGAGCAGUAUCCAUGUGUGAAUACAUAGCACAUGAGAAGGCAGACUCAGGGAACUGAAACAUCUAAGUACCUGAAGGAAGAGAAAGCAAAUGCGAUUCCCCAAGUAGCGGCGAGCGAAACGGGAUCAGCCCAAACCAGAAGGCUUGCCUUCUGGGGUUGUAGGACACUCUAUACGGAGUUACAAAGGAACGGAUUAAGCGAAGCGACCUGGAACGGU
rnacentral:rRNA from 1 species